CAGUUUGGGGGAAACUGGGCAGAUGUUGGGUCUUUUGUUCUUCACCAUGCCCUAGGCUAGAUGACUUGCAAUUCUUCCCACAAAGCCACCGGCCUACGGCCCCAUCUUCUCACCUCUGACUCUCACUUUUUUACCUUCUGUUCCUGGUCUGCUCUUUCACCUCCCUGCUAAGCUAUGCUGUUACUCUGGAAUCUCCAGGGCUCCCCAUGCCAAGCACAGAGACUCCUGUUGUGUCUCUCCUGCUGCUCCCUGGCCCCGCAGCCUGAGGCCCAGACCUGAGAGGUAAGGGUGAGGAAGAGCUGAGCGCUACAGGGCGGCCAGCUCUUAGCGUGCAAGACCUGGGCAGUGGGUCACUUAGCACUGCUGCUCCAGUUGCCCCUGGAGCGGAUUCUCGCACAGAGGGUCAGGCUGCCUGUUCUGGAGCACUCUCUCGGUUCAGAGGGCACUAAUGUCCUCAGGAUCUCAAGACUGACCAGGCAGUUCCUGACUGUUAGGCAGCCUACUGUGGUCAAAAGGCAGUCCAUCAACACAAAUUGAGCACCCACAGUGUAUGUAACAGGAGAAUAUCUAGCUCGGGGGCUGGUUGAGAAGACAAAGCUACAUAAAGCACAUGAAAAGGAAAAUACUAAGAAAGUAGACAAUGAAGGGCGAUGUGGGGUGAGGCAAAGACAGCAGGGGUUCAGAGAAGUGGAGAUCCUGGGAAGCUAGGGUGGUGGAGGUGGGAUUUAAGGUGUCACUACAAAGGAUGAGCAGAAGUUUUACAUGAUUUUUUGUGGGGAAGAGGCCUGGUGAGAGAGAGGGAUUGGAAUUACUCGGAGCCAGGCCUCCAAGGAAAAGAACAACCAGCUGUGCUUGUGCAGGUAGGCUUGCUUCUCUUUUCCUGUGUGUGUGUGUGCGCGCGCCUGUCCAUCUCUCUUUCUUAAAAGUCCUUUAUACUUUUUACGUGAGAAAUUGCUACCCAGAAGUCAUUCUUUUUGAACCUAAAUACUGAAAUGGGUAUGGGGUCUGGAAGCCCUUCAAAUUUCUCCCUGUUGCUCUCACCCAGAACUCUGCCUAACUUGAGAAUCACACAAAUUUAGUGAGUUAAGUGUAAAUACUGUCCAGGUUGGUCCCUCUGCUCCUCACACCCAACGGAAGCUCUGUUCAAGUGGAAUCCAACAUGAAAUCCUGAUGUGAACGGGACCAGCAUGAGUGAGCUGCUCUGGCAAGAGCGGGGAGCCCAGGGAGGCAGGAGCCGCAGAGCUGAUGGCCUUCAGUGUCUCCUGCUCUGGAAACUGCAGCUCUUUCCAGAGCAUUCCAAGGCUGGAAGUAGGGGUCCAAGCAGGGUGACCAUGCGGGAUGAAGCAUGGGGUUAUUUUCACCAGGCCUCCCAGGAUCAUUAACCAACAGAUGCCACAAAUCUACACCUGAAGCCAGCCGUGGGCAAAGUGACAAGCUAGGGAUGCGGUCUGAAUGACUGGUUUAGCACUUGCCUCUCCUGUGCCUUCCAGAACCCGCACUGGGGCUCCCAGGAUAACUGCGAGGUGUGCCGGACAGGGCAGGGCCGAGCUGUUCCUGCAGCAGGUCAAGCCUUAGGAAACACAUGUGACCUUUCCUUCCUGGGUUUCUCUUCUCCUGCUACCUGAACAAGGACAAGAUGGUGGAAGCUGGAGCCACCAUCUGGGGCCAUAAGAUGGAAGAUAUGUUGAGAAUGGCAGGAUGAGAAGUGACCAGCAAGCUUUGGCCUCCUGGCGUGUCUCUGAAUGACCCAAGGAAACCAUGGAUCUGCUUAGUUCUCACCCUUUGUCCCCUCUGCCCAGUCCCUGCUUUCUGAACUCAACGACCUCCUCUGUGAAGUCUUCUCCUUAGCAUGCCUACACUCCCUUCCUCCUCUGGAUUUCUUGGGCCUCUUUCCUAGUCAUGAUCUAAAGCUCCUUCUCACUCACGACACUGUCCCUCCAUCCCUGUCCAUCUGAUCUCCUGCACCUCUGGCUAUGCCACUUUACCAUAAGGAACUGGAAUCUGCGAUGUUAUGCUGCCACUAUGAUAGUAUGGUCACAUGUAACCAGGAGCUUCAGGUAAUUUUACUGUAGUAUCGACUGCCUUCUACUUUUAAUAAUUCUCUGACGGCAGCUUUCUCAUAUGCCCCUAAGUAUACAUGUAGUUGUCUUAGGGCAUCUUCCUAGGAAGCUGUUUUGGUUACUCUCGUUCCACCUCUCCCCUAAAGGACAUGUAAGAGAGAUAAAGCACAUCUGGGCCUCCAUCCAAAGUCAGCUAGGCCAUGUUCUGGGGAAAUAGUUAACCCUUAGGGAUGUAUUUUCAUACUUAGUUGGCCAGGAUGCAAUCCUAGUGACUUGCUCACUUGUUCUUUAAAAAAAGGGUCUAGGGGUACCUGGGUGGCUCAGUCCAUUAAGCAGCUGCCUUCUGCUCAGAUCAUGAACCUGCAGUCC